CCAGUAGGCGGGCCAAUUAAGUCGGAUGUGAAAUCCCCAGGCUCAACUUGGGAACUGCAUCCGAUACUGGAUGGCUUGAAUUCGGGAGAGGGAUGCAGAAUUCCAGGUGUAGCGGUGAAAUGCGUAGAUAUCUGGAGGAAUACCGGUGGCGAAGGCGGCAUCCUGGACCGACAUUGACGCUGAACGGCGAAAGCUAGGGGAGCAAACG
rnacentral:rRNA from 1 species